rnacentral:rRNA from 1 species
GUGAGUGAAGAAGGCCUUUGGGUUGUAAAGCUCUUUCGUCGGGGAAGAAAAUGACUGUACCCGAAUAAGAAGGUCCGGCUAACUUCGUGCCAGCAGCCGCGGUAAUACGAAGGGACCUAGCGUAGUUCGGAAUUACUGGGCUUAAAGAGUUCGUAGGUGGUUGAAAAAGUUGGUGGUGAAAUCCCAGAGCUUAACUCUGGAACUGCCAUCAAAACUUUUUAGCUAGAGUAUGAUAGAGGAAAGCAGAAUUUCUAGUGUAGAGGUGAAAUUCGUAGAUAUUAGAAAGAAUACCAAUUGCGAAGGCAGCUUUCUGGAUCAUUACUGACACUGAGGAACGAAAGCAUGGGUAGCGAAGAGGAUUAGAUACCCUCGUAGUCCAUGCCGUAAACGAUGUGUGUUAGACGUUGGAAAUUUAUUUUCAGUGUCGCAGCGAAAGCGAUAAACACACCGCCUGGGGAGUACGACCGCAAGGUUAAAACUCAAAUGAAUUGACGGGGACCCGCACAAGUAGUGGAGCAUGUGGUUUAAUUCGAAGAUACGCGCAGAACCUUACCAACACUUGACAUGUUCGUCGCGACUCUAAGAGAUUAGAGUUUUCGGUUCGGCCGGACGAAACACAGGUGCUGCAUGGCUGUCGUCAGCUCGUGUCGUGAGAUGUUGGGUUAAGUCCCGCAACGAGCGCAACCCUCACUUUUAGUUGCCAUCAUUAAGUUGGGCACUCUGAAAGAACUGCCAGUGAUAAGCUGGAGGAAGGUGGGGAUGACGUCAAGUCCUCAUGGCCCUUACGUGUUGGGCUACACACGUGCUACAAUGGUAUCUACAACAGGAAGCAAGACUGCGAGGUCAAGCAAAUCCCUAAAAGAUACCUCAGUUCGGAUUGCACUCUGCAACUCGAGUGCAUGAAGCUGGAAUUACU